rnacentral:rRNA from 1 species
GAGUGGCGGACGGGUGAGUAACACGUGGGUAACCUGCCCAGAAGCAGGGGAUAACACCUGGAAACAGAUGCUAAUACCGUAUAACAGAGAAAACCGCCUGGUUUUCUUUUAAAAGAUGGCUCUGCUAUCACUUCUGGAUGGACCCGCGGCGCAUUAGCUAGUUGGUGAGGUAACGGCUCACCAAGGCGAUGAUGCGUAGCCGACCUGAGAGGGUAAUCGGCCACAUUGGGACUGAGACACGGCCCAGACUCCUACGGGAGGCAGCAGUAGGGAAUCUUCCACAAUGGACGCAAGUCUGAUGGAGCAACGCCGCGUGAGUGAAGAAGGGUUUCGGCUCGUAAAGCUCUGUUGUUAAAGAAGAACGUGGGUGAGAGUAACUAUUCACCCAGUGACGGUAUUUAACCAGAAAGCCACGGCUAACUACGUGCCAGCAGCCGCGGUAAUACGUAGGUGGCAAGCGUUAUCCGGAUUUAUUGGGCGUAAAGCGAGCGCAGGCGGUCUUUUAAGUCUAAUGUGAAAGCCUUCGGCUCAACC